AACAGACUGGUUCGAUUUCCUCCUUAGCGCGAUUCGUUUGUGCAGGUGUGAACACACACUCUGGUGCAGACCAAAACAACCGCACCUUGACACCCUUGAGAGGAGGUGUUCUCGGUCCGUUCCCAAGCGAACACUGGUGCGAUUCGUUUAUGGUCUGAACGUAUCCCGAGCUCAAUCCGACCCAACUUCCAGCCUUCCAGGUCCACUCCGCGAAUUUGAGCUAAAGGGCUCCCGUAGCCAGGUGUGCUUUGCAUUCUGGGAUGCGGCAGAGCACGCAAUCAUGUAGCAGCAGCUAUGCGAAGAAGGGGAAAUGAACCUAGCUAGGUCUUGGUCUAGCAGCGAGCAAGGUGUGGAAAGCCUUAAAAAUAAUGGAAGAAAUCAGAGAGAAGAUGUCAAGAAGAUUGCGGAAGGAGAGUGACGGAGACCUACACAUGAUGGAUGACGUGCAUGUGAUCAGAAUAUGACUCAGGCUCACCUGAGAGAUAUACUCAUCCUGAUUGGACAUCAUCAAGAAGCCCCCAUCAUCCAGAAUGAC